rnacentral:lncRNA from 1 species
CCGAAUUGAAUGUUGAAACCACACAUAAAUCAGUAUAUUUAACAUAAUACCCAAUACUUUAAUCUGCUUUAGACUAUGACAGCUCAAAUUAAUGCACAGAUUAUUCACACAGGAUGAAAGCCCACAUGAAUGAUACAGAAUAUAUUGCACUAAUUUUGAAUCUGCAAACGGUGCAAAUUAAAUUAGAUAGCAGAAAUAGAAAUCAUCCGGGAAUAAGGAAUCUCGUUAAAGUCAUCCUCAUAAGGUUUGCAAAGAAAUAAAGGAACAUAAAUAACUGAAAAUUUCCACUUUUGUCUGGGCUAGCACGCACCAACAUGUCCGCACACUUGCUUUCUCUCUGUAGACAUGUUUAAUUGUAUCUAUUCGCAAUCUUGAAUUAGGUUGUUAAGCUGGAUAAUUGCCCGUGCGUCCGCCUCCACUUCAAUGGGGAUCAAAAGCAUAGAGUCAUAGACCAUGCCAUGAUCCAUGAUGAGACCCUCUCUGAGGGCUGUAAGCUCAGUUUCCAUACUACUGACUUGGCCAAUUGUUCGAUGAAAUCCUGUGACACAAGUUCCAUUGUGAACGCGGAUAAUGCUACCACCGGACUCUAUUGGGGGUUUGACUUUACUGUACCAUCCGUGUUAAGUUUAAAAAAGUUAAGUUAGGGGGGAAUUUCCAUGAUUUUUGUUAUGCGCAGAACCAAAACAAAAACCACACACUCAUACAAAGAGACACAUAUAUUUAUGUGAUUCGACAAUUUGCUUACAUCCUCGGAUUGUAGCAAUUUCAGUAUUAGAGAAAGAAAAAUAUAGAUUUACGGUUUCUCUCUAUCUCAAGCUCUCUGAUCUCUCUCUUUUCUCUCACUCUUCCCUUGGUGGUCUGGUGGUGGCAAAGCAACCGCCACCUCCCUCAUACUCUCUCUACCUUUGAUCUACAUCUUUU